CGGAGGGUGCAAGCGUUAUCCGGAUUCACUGGGUUUAAAGGGUGCGUAGGUGGGCAGGUAAGUCAGUGGUGAAAUCUCUGGGCUUAACUCAGAAACUGCCAUUGAUACUAUCUGUCUUGAAUACCGUGGAGGUCAGCGGAAUAUGUCAUGUAGCGGUGAAAUGCUUAGAUAUGACAUAGAACACCAAUUGCGAAGGCAGCUGGCUACACGAAUAUUGACACUGAUGCACGAAAGCGUGGGGAUCAAACAGGAUUAGAUACCCUGGUAGUCCACGCCCUAAACGAUGGAUACUCGACAUACGCGAUACACUGUGUGUGUCUGAGCGAAAAGCAUUAAGUAUCCCACCUGGGAAGUACGAUCGCAAGAUUG
rnacentral:rRNA from 1 species